CUUAUGUUUCUAUCUAAUAUUAAUCUUGAAUAAGACUUGUUGCCAUGAAUUGAAAUACUCUUAUGUUUUGAGCAGUAAAAUCUUUCAUUCACGCUAAAAAGAAAAAAUAUUAAGUUUCAUGUAUUUUCGGUUGGCUGUGUUUUUGAGGUUAGCACCAGUAACUAAACCAGGUUAUGGUAGGGAGAGGUUUAAACCAACCCUUCAAGGUCUGUUUUUGAGGGUAGUAUCGGUAACUAAACCAGGUUAUGGUAGGGAGAGGUUUAAACCAACCCUUCAAGGUCUGUUUUUGAGGGUACUAUCGGUAACUAAACCAGGUUAUGGUAGGGAGAGGUUUAAACCAACCCUUCAAGGUCUGUUUUUGAGGGUAGUAUCGGUAACUAAACCAGGUUAUGGUAGGGAGAGGUUUAAACCAACCCUUCAAGGUCUGUUUUUGAGGGUAGUAUCGGUAACUAAACCAGGUUAUGGUAGGGAGAGGUUUAAACCAACCCUUCAAGGUCUGUUUUUGAGGGUACUAUCGGUAACUAAACCAGGUUAUGGUAGGGAGAGGUUUAAACCAACCCUUCAAGGUCUGUUUUUGAGGGUAGUAUCGGUAACUAAACCAGGUUAUGGUAGGGAGAGGUUUAAACCAACCCUUCAAGGUCUGUUUUUGAGGGUACUAUCGGUAACUAAACCAGGUUAUGGUAGGGAGAGGUUUAAACCAACCCUUCAAGGUCUGAGAAUAUUGCCGUCUGUCAUGCCGGAGAACAAACCAUUUCUGCUAAUGUUGAAGAUGACUGCCAUUUAUUAAAAAACAAUAUCAAUCUUGUUAUUUUGCAUCUUUGCCAUGUAACCUAUGAAAUAAAUACACUGUAUCCUA